ACAGACUUGCUACAAUGCCUUUCUUCUCACCAUGGAUCACAGCAGUUUUCAUCAUUUCCUUGACAUUCCCUUUUCAUUCUGAAACUUCUUUUGAAUCAGCCGCUCGCCGACCUCCAAGGUGUGAUAUGACUGCAUAUGCUGCUUGCUCUGAAGAACAUGAUCCUGUCUGUGCAAGCAAUGGCAGGACUUACGGCAAUUCUUGCAAGUACUGUCAUGCACUCAAGUAAGAAUAACAGUUCAAAUAGCAACUCUUCAGCAGAAAUGGAGAGACUACCACAAAAUGAUAGCAAAAACGA